GGUUAAGCGACUAAGCGUACACGGUGGAUGCCCUGGCAGUCAGAGGCGAUGAAGGACGUGCUAAUCUGCGAUAAGCGUCGGUAAGGUGAUAUGAACCGUUAUAACCGGCGAUUUCCGAAUGGGGAAACCCAGUGUGAUUCGUCACACUAUCAUUAACUGAAUCCAUAGGUUAAUGAGGCGAACCGGGGGAACUGAAACAUCUAAGUACCCCGAGGAAAAGAAAUCAACCGAGAUUCCCCCAGUAGCGGCGAGCGAACGGGGAGGAGCCCAGAGCCUGAAUCAGUGUGUGUGUUAGUGGAAGCGUCUGGAAAGGCGCGCGAUACAGGGUGACAGCCCCGUACACAAAAAUGCACAUACUGUGAGCUCGAUGAGUAGGGCGGGACACGUGGUAUCCUGUCUGAAUAUGGGGGGACCAUCCUCCAAGGCUAAAUACUCCUGACUGACCGAUAGUGAACCAGUACCGUGAGGGAAAGGCGAAAAGAACCCCGGCGAGGGGAGUGAAAAAGAACCUGAAACCGUGUACGUACAAGCAGUGGGAGCCUCUUUAUGGGGUGACUGCGUACCUUUUGUAUAAUGGGUCAGCGACUUAUAUUCUGUAGCAAGGUUAACCGAAUAGGGGAGCCGAAGGGAAACCGAGUCUUAACUGGGCGUUAAGUUGCAGGGUAUAGACCCGAAACCCGGUGAUCUAGCCAUGGGCAGGUUGAAGGUUGGGUAACACUAACUGGAGGACCGAACCGACUAAUGUUGAAAAAUUAGCGGAUGACUUGUGGCUGGGGGUGAAAGGCCAAUCAAACCGGGAGAUAGCUGGUUCUCCCCGAAAGCUAUUUAGGUAGCGCCUCGUGAAUUCAUCUCCGGGGGUAGAGCACUGUUUCGGCAAGGGGGUCAUCCCGACUUACCAACCCGAUGCAAACUGCGAAUACCGGAGAAUGUUAUCACGGGAGACACACGGCGGGUGCUAACGUCCGUCGUGAAGAGGGAAACAACCCAGACCGCCAGCUAAGGUCCCAAAGUCAUGGUUAAGUGGGAAACGAUGUGGGAAGGCCCAGACAGCCAGGAUGUUGGCUUAGAAGCAGCCAUCAUUUAAAGAAAGCGUAAUAGCUCACUGGUCGAGUCGGCCUGCGCGGAAGAUGUAACGGGGCUAAACCAUGCACCGAAGCUGCGGCAGCGACACUGUGUGUUGUUGGGUAGGGGAGCGUUCUGUAAGCCUGUGAAGGUGUGCUGUGAGGCAUGCUGGAGGUAUCAGAAGUGCGAAUGCUGACAUAAGUAACGAUAAAGCGGGUGAAAAGCCCGCUCGCCGGAAGACCAAGGGUUCCUGUCCAACGUUAAUCGGGGCAGGGUGAGUCGACCCCUAAGGCGAGGCCGAAAGGCGUAGUCGAUGGGAAACAGGUUAAUAUUCCUGUACUUGGUGUUACUGCGAAGGGGGGACGGAGAAGGCUAUGUUGGCCGGGCGACGGUUGUCCCGGUUUAAGCGUGUAGGCUGGUUUUCCAGGCAAAUCCGGAAAAUCAAGGCUGAGGCGUGAUGACGAGGCACUACGGUGCUGAAGUGACAAAUGCCCUGCUUCCAGGAAAAGCCUCUAAGCAUCAGGUAACAACAAAUCGUACCCCAAACCGACACAGGUGGUCAGGUAGAGAAUACCAAGGCGCUUGAGAGAACUCGGGUGAAGGAACUAGGCAAAAUGGUGCCGUAACUUCGGGAGAAGGCACGCUGAUAUGUAGGUGAAGCGACUUGCUCGUGGAGCUGAAAUCAGUCGAAGAUACCAGCUGGCUGCAACUGUUUAUUAAAAACACAGCACUGUGCAAACACGAAAGUGGACGUAUACGGUGUGACGCCUGCCCGGUGCCGGAAGGUUAAUUGAUGGGGUUAGCGGUAACGCGAAGCUCUUGAUCGAAGCCCCGGUAAACGGCGGCCGUAACUAUAACGGUCCUAAGGUAGCGAAAUUCCUUGUCGGGUAAGUUCCGACCUGCACGAAUGGCGUAAUGAUGGCCAGGCUGUCUCCACCCGAGACUCAGUGAAAUUGAACUCGCUGUGAAGAUGCAGUGUACCCGCGGCAAGACGGAAAGACCCCGUGAACCUUUACUAUAGCUUGACACUGAACAUUGAGCCUUGAUGUGUAGGAUAGGUGGGAGGCUUAGAAGUGUGGACGCCAGUCUGCAUGGAGCCGACCUUGAAAUACCACCCUUUAAUGUUUGAUGUUCUAACGUUGGCCCCUUAUCGGGGUUGCGGACAGUGUCUGGUGGGUAGUUUGACUGGGGCGGUCUCCUCCUAAAGAGUAACGGAGGAGCACGAAGGUUGGCUAAUCCUGGUCGGACAUCAGGAGGUUAGUGCAAUGGCAUAAGCCAGCUUGACUGCGAGCGUGACGGCGCGAGCAGGUGCGAAAGCAGGUCAUAGUGAUCCGGUGGUUCUGAAUGGAAGGGCCAUCGCUCAACGGAUAAAAGGUACUCCGGGGAUAACAGGCUGAUACCGCCCAAGAGUUCAUAUCGACGGCGGUGUUUGGCACCUCGAUGUCGGCUCAUCACAUCCUGGGGCUGAAGUAGGUCCCAAGGGUAUGGCUGUUCGCCAUUUAAAGUGGUACGCGAGCUGGGUUUAGAACGUCGUGAGACAGUUCGGUCCCUAUCUGCCGUGGGCGCUGGAGAACUGAGGGGGGCUGCUCCUAGUACGAGAGGACCGGAGUGGACGCAUCACUGGUGUUCGGGUUGUCAUGCCAAUGGCACUGCCCGGUAGCUAAAUGCGGAAGAGAUAAGUGCUGAAAGCAUCUAAGCACGAAACUUGCCCCGAGAUGAGUUCUCCCUGACCCUUUAAGGGUCCUGAAGGAACGUUGAAGACGACGACGUUGAUAGGCCGGGUGUGUAAGCGCAGCGAUGCGUUGAGCUAACCGGUACUAAUGAACCGUGAGGCUUAACCUU
rnacentral:rRNA from 2 species